AAUUAUUAAGUAUAACUUUAUACAUUUGCCUUGAAAGCUUAAAAUGAGUAGCUCAGUAGUUU
rnacentral:tRNA from 1 species